rnacentral:rRNA from 1 species
UACGUAGGGUGCAAGCGUUUAAUCGGAAUUACUGGGCGUAAAGCGUACGCAGGCGGCUUUGCAAGACAGGUGUGAAAUCCCCGGGCCUAACCUGGGAACUGCAUUUGUGACUGCAUGGCUAGAGUUUGUCAGAGGGGGGUGGAAUUCCACGUGUAGCAGUGAAAUGCGUAGAUAAUGUGGAGGAACACCGAUGGCGAAGGCAGCCCCCUGGGAUGUGACGUGACGCUCGAUGUGACGAAAGCGUGGGGAGCAAACAGG